AUACGGAGGGUGCAAGCGUUAAUCGGAAUUACUGGGCGUAAAGGGCGCGUAGGCGGUCUAUCAAGUCAGGUGUGAAACCCCACGGCUCAACCGUGGAGGUGCAUCUGAAACUGAUAGACUUGAGUAUGGGAGAGGAAAGUGGAAUUCCCGGUGUAGAGGUGAAAUUCGUAGAUAUCGGGAGGAACACCAGUGGCGAAGGCGACUUUCUGGACCAAUACUGACGCUGAGGCGCGAAAGCGUGGGGAGCAAACAGGAUUAGAUACCCUAGUAGUCC
rnacentral:rRNA from 1 species